UUCACAGGGAGCACACAUGCCCUUGAGUGCUGAGCUAAGGACCUGGAAAAGAACCACUGUGAAUUCUGCAGCUAUGGAAACCCUGGGGCUGCCUGUGGUCAGAGAGGGGCUUCAAGAUCAGUGAUUUUCCAGCAGCUGGGAGAAUGGACUGGAACAGAUACCCCCUGAACCGUUCUGACAGCCCAGAUUAGAAGGGGGAAGGUGGAGGAAAGGCACAGACAAUUCAGAAGAAGAAAAAAAAGCGAUCGUCUGCCCUUCCCACGUCUUCGCCGAUCAGUCCCCACUUUCCAGCCUGCACAAGUGCCUUGGAGCCCUACCCUUUGGAUGCAGCCAAAGCCAUUCCUAGCAGCCCUUGAGGGUUCUAACAACACAACUGUGGAGUCAGAGAUUUCCUUCUCCUUCCCUGGAGGAAGUCCUGUCUCCUGGGAUCCCAAGGCUUCAUCCAGGGACAGCUACAUGUAAAUCAGGAAGAGAAAUCUGCUGUGGAAAAGGUCUCCAUUGACCAACUGCUCCUCUGGUCUCUGCCUGUCCAGCAGACAAGUGCACUGCAGUAAUGAAAUCCACGACUUCCCACCUCUGCCAGUGAAGAGUCAGCAUGUACCGUGUGAAAGCCAGGAAGGCUCAUCUGUCUCGUGAGUGAUUUCCUUUCCUAAGGAAGGCCCUCCAAGGAGCCAUGCAUCUCUGGAACGGAUCACCCAUGCUGACAGAACUGAAGAUUGAACCUCUAACUAACAUGACUUGUGCAGGUGACAGGGAAAUUGUUUGUAAUAUAACUUCAUUUCUUUAAAAGCAGCUACGGAUUUAUACUUGGGUGAAAUUAUAUCCCACAUACUAAUUUAAUAAACUCCUCUAAGCUUACACAGAGUCUCUUCUUGGAAAAGGAUGUGUUUCUGAUCCACUGGCCAGUGCACUGAAUGAUUUCCCACUACAACCCAAGGGAGAGGGAGUAGUGAAGACUGAAAACUAGGCAAAGCCAAUUCGUAUUCUGAUGAAACUUUACAAAUGCUGCUUAUGACAAAACCCAGUUGUAAAAACUAAAGGGUAAGGUGAACACCCAAACCCUGCCAUUAAAAUAACAAAGAAAGGGGCUCCCUGCUACCUUUGGUUAAUCUUUUCCAGUGGAACCUUCUUGUCUUGUGUCUCAUUACCUCAAGUCCCAAGAUUUCCAACCCUGGGUAAAGACUGUCUCCUCAGGGCCAGGCACAGUGGCCCAUGCCUGAAAUCCCAGCAAUUUGGGAGGCCGAGG
rnacentral:lncRNA from 10 species